rnacentral:rRNA from 1 species
AUUGAACGCUGGCGGCAGGCCUAACACAUGCAAGUCGAACGGUAACAGGAAGAAGCUUGCUUCUUUGCUGACGAGUGGCGGACGGGUGAGUAAUGUCUGGGAAACUGCCUGAUGGAGGGGGAUAACUACUGGAAACGGUAGCUAAUACCGCAUAACGUCGCAAGACCAAAGAGGGGGACCUUCGGGCCUCUUGCCAUCGGAUGUGCCCAGAUGGGAUUAGCUAGUAGGUGGGGUAACGGCUCACCUAGGCAACGAUCCCUAGCUGGUCUGAGAGGAUGACCAGCCACACUGGAACUGAGACACGGUCCAGACUCCUACGGGAGGCAGCAGUGGGGAAUAUUGCACAAUGGGCGCAAGCCUGAUGCAGCCAUGCCGCGUGUAUGAAGAAGGCCUUCGGGUUGUAAAGUACUUUCAGCGGGGAGGAAGGGAGUAAAGUUAAUACCUUGGCUCAUUGACGUUACCCGCAGAAGAAGCACCGGCUAACUCCGUG